UACAGAGGGUGCAAGCGUUAUCCGGAUUUACUGGGUUUAAAGGGUGCGUAGGUGGGUCUGUAAGUCAGCGGUGAAAUCUCCAGGCUUAACCUGGAAAUUGCCAUUGAUACUAUAGAUCUUGAAUUAUCUGGAGGUAAGCGGAAUAUGUCAUGUAGCGGUGAAAUGCUUAGAUAUGACAUAGAACACCAGUGGCGAAGGCGACUUACUGGACACAUAUUGACGCUGAGGUGCGAAAGCCAGGGGAGCGAACGGG
rnacentral:rRNA from 1 species